rnacentral:tRNA from 1 species
GGAGAGUUCGCAUAGCGGUCUAGUGCGCACGCUUGGAAAGCGUGUAAGCUGAAAGGCUUCAGGAGUUCGAAUCUCCUACUCUCCGCCA